rfam:Medicago truncatula strain A17 chromosome 2, whole genome shotgun sequence.
CCCAUAAGUAAUAAAAUGUCCGUUUAUGUCCCUUAACUUUAUUUAAAGUAUCAAUUUGAUCAUUUCUGUUAAUUUUAAUUCAAAAAAACGUUAAGUUUAAGGAGCAAACUAAUACUAAUAAAAUAAGCUAAGAGAUCAAACUAAUACUAAUUAAAUAAGUUAAUGUACCAAAAUUUAACGUUUUUUUGAAUUAAAUUAACAUAAAGGAUCAAAUUGAUACUUUAAUAUACAAACCUUUUAUUACUUAUGGAA